GCUGUCACUGUCGACAAUCGCACGUGCAAGGAAAUCCACAUGCUCGUUGCCUGCGACUCCUAUAUGCGAGGGCGUCCAUAAGAAUUCCACACUGUAAUUUCUUUUAAAUAGCAUAUACAAUAAGUAUCUUAUUUCUGUGAUAAUAUAGCUUGACUUAGCACUGAAUUGAUGAUUUUGUAGAGCUUUUAGAACACUCAUGCUGUCUGUGAUGAUUAACCAAUAUCUUUCCGAACGAUCUUCAAUGAAUCGUAAUGCAGAAACAAUAGCAAGAGCUUCUGCAGAAAAUAUGCUCAAAUUUUCAUUUAGUUUAGUACCUCGUCCAAACUUCAAACUUGGUAUAUAGAAUGCCAUUGAAACCUUAUCUUCCUUUUUUGAGCCAUCUGUGUAAAUGUGUUUAUAAUUGGGAUAUUGAGAUAUAACAUUAUAGAUUUCGUGUCGAUCUCUCAGUUUAUUGUCUAUAACUAUGCUUAUGUUAUGCAUAAUACUUUCAUAGCUCUUAGUAUAGCAAACCCAGUUAUCUGAUUUAAAGAUGUUGUGCUGAUUGACCAAAUUUAACAAAAAGGGGAGCUCAUGCAAAAGAAAGGGAUAGUUGCUUGAUAAAGGGGAAUUCAUAUGCAAACUAUUGUUCAGAUGUGUAAGUUUGUUAAUAAGGGAGUGAUUAUUAAUAGAAAGUAAUUUUAGCAAAAAUCUCCUUUUUAAAUAUUGAAACAUUAAGUAUAGUGGAGGAGUGUUGUAUUCAACUUGGAGUGAAUUUAUGGGAGUUGUUCUCAUUGCCCCAGUGAUAAGUCGAAGACUAUGAUUUUGAAUGACAUCCAAUUUGUGAAGCAGUUGGUUAUUUGAAGCAAAACAAAAGAAACUGUAUUCAAAGUGGCUACGAACAAGAGAUUUGUAUAGAGUUAAAAGAAUUUUAGGAUCAGAGCCCCAGUAUGUUCCAGCAAGAGACCUCAAAAUAUUCAGUGCCUUUGUAGCUCUGUCAGUUACACAAUCAACAUAUUUACCCCAGGAUACAUUGUUAAGAAACAACACACCCAAGAACUUAGCUUUGGUUACAGCUGGGAGUUCUGUACUAUCAUAAUAUAAUUUGACCUGAAAAGGCCUUCCUUUAUUGAAUACUAAUACUUUGGAUUUCUCUAUACUUAUGUCUAAGGCAAGAUAAUUAAAAUAGGCAGACCAAUGGAAACAAGCUCUGAAGACAGAAUAUGAUGAUUUACGUUAUUGAAAGCCCCUACUACAUCAAAAAAUACACUGGCCAAAACAUUAUUGGAUUUGAAUGCUUGAAAGAUGUCCAAAUGUAAAUGGGCAAUACUCUCUCUAGAAGAUCUGCCCUUUCUAAACCCAAAUUGAUUAGAAGAUGAUAUUGCUGACAUUAAUUCGGCAAAUGAAAAUGGUUCCAAAAAGUAUCUGUGAUUAGGGCAAGACCAAUCUUGAUUGUCAAAGUGGGAUGCUGGCUCAACAGUAUCUGGAGUGUAUUUUUUGAGGUAAUGAAUAAUCCAAUCAUAAUUGUUAUCAAACACAGACGAAGGUGAGUAAGUUUUGUUAAAUUUACGCAUAUGUGACCAAAUAAUUGAAAUAGGUGUAGUUCUGAAAAGGAUUCACAUAAUUGGUUCCAACUUAAUCUUCUUUCAGAUCUAAUUAUGUAUUUCUUCUUAGCUUGAACCUUUUUAAAGUUUAUAUAAUUCUCUUCAGUUGGGUCUUCUUUGAAUUGUAAGUAUGCAUUUUUACUAUCUGUGAGAGCUUUAAAACAAUUUGAAUUCCAACAUGGAAGUGGAUUUCUUUUUGUUUUUGUGUUUGGUUUUAAACGAGAAUUAUUAUGACUAGAUGAAGAGAAAGGAAGAGAUUCCGAUAGAGCCCUGUUUAAGCAUUUAAUAAGAUUGUUGUAUGGCGCUUCUAAACGGGCCAUGUUUUGCUGCAAUUGAUGGCUGCAACACAUGGCCCGGCAACAUUGCAAACAAUGUCAGCCACACUAUGCAAUGUUGCAGUAAUGUCCCGGCCAUAUAGCCAAACAUGUUUUGUGUAGCCACUUAUGGCCGAUAUUGCUCCGAUGGGUUGCCGAACGAUCGCUAGGCUAUCGAAUUCAACUGCAAUAUUGCACAGCCAGUUCUAUUGUUGUUUCAGUCACUCUCUUUGUGGCAUAGUGUAUCCUUUUCUACGCGACAUGAAGUUUGCUAUGAGUGAAGUGUGCCUGUUGCUAUAUUCUGUGUUUUGCGAUCAGCUGCAUUUUGACAACUACGUAAAAAUGGUUACUGGUCUAACAAGACAAUUACUGAUUUUAUUGAAGAAAUACAUUUGCACCCCGAGUUGUGGGAUAUAAAAACCGGCUCAUACAAAGAUAGAAAUUCUAAAAAAGAUGCAUGGAAUGAAAUCACUGAAAAGUUUGGCAUAACAAGUAACGAGGCUUACAAAAAAUUCAGAAGCCUAAGAACUUACGCAAAUAAUGAGGAGAAAAAGAAGAAAAGUGGUAGUGCUGGCGGUAAAACAGUAAAGUGGUUUGCUUAAGAUGCGAUAUCGUUUCUCUUUACUCAAAAUACCACGAAUAUAGGAUCACAUAGUGAAAAUGAAAACUUCUAACGCGACUGAAACUACAUACUGACAUCAGUGUUGACCCACGUGAAGUCGUAGAAUCAGAAACAACCGACACUUUGGAAGCCGUCGAUACUACUCCAAAACCACGUACUAAAAGGCUCAAAAUAUUAUACGCGAUGCUGGCGAAAAUAAAAACGAAUAUGCUGCUACUAGAUACCUAUUAUUAUUAAAUUUAAAAAGUACAUAAUAGUUACUACCUAUGGGUAACAUAUU